GUCUACAACUAUGCCCCCCUGAACGUGAUUGAUCUUGUCUGAUCUCGAAAAAGCUAAGCAGGGUCGGGCCUGGUUAGUACUUGGAUGGGAGACCACCUAGGAAGACCAGGUGCUGUAGGCA
rnacentral:rRNA from 1 species